AGUCCUGGCUCACAUCCUGACUACAACUGCAUGAGGGAUCAUAAGCCCAGCCCCCAGUGUAGACACUUACGGAUGCUUCACUCUCAGAAAAUGUGUGAGAUAACAGAGGUUUGUUAUUUCAAACCACUAAGUUUUGUGAUGGUGAUUGAUAACUUAUUUUACAAUAAAUUUGAAAAAUUUAAUACAUAUACACAUAGAGGCAAAUGUGUAGAGAAAGGUCUGGAAGGAGAUGUACCAAAGUGACUCUGGCAGUUACUUCUGAAGAGUGGGGGACUGGGGGGCUGAGGGUGAGAUUAGUUUCACCUGUACUGUCUCUGUUUUUGUUGUACAAGACCUUAUAAGUGCAUUACUAGCAGAAUUUUAAAAAAACACUAAAAGGCAGGAAAUAUAAUUUAAGAUUCCGCUACUUUGGAAUUUUGUGGUGAGUCAGAUAAAGCUGAGACUUACCUUUGAUCAUCUCCAAGAAACAAGGUUGCUUAGCAAAUUCGUUUAAUAAUAAACAAGGUGAGUAGUGGGGCUCUCCAACCUGCUUAAGAAAGCCAACUGCUGUCAGUUAUUCUUAAAAAUGACCUCAUUGUAAGUCACAUACGGUAGUCAAUGGAAAGGACACUGGCCUGGAAAUCAGGAGAUGUGAACUUGAGUCCAUCUUCUGCCUCGAAUUCCUUGGACGAACUUAAGCCAAUCAUGUGAUCUCUGAGUUUUGACUUCCUGGUAUAAAGGGAUAAUAUUUGAAGACAAAUUGAGACCAGGCCUUCACAAGUUUCUGAAUAGCGAUAAAGUACAGCAUGCUGUAAGAGUGAUUAUUUGCCUCAUCCCCCUACCCUCAAGAACCAACAGAUGGCCUUCUCUUCAUUUGAAAAUCAAACACUCCUACCAAGAGAAAAUAACAUUAAAAUGCUCCUUUAAGAACAUAUCAAGAAACAUACUGAAAAUUGUGAAAUGUGGCCAAGUCAAAUAGAAAUUUCAGAGACUGGUUUCCCAGUGCCCCACUUUCUGAGGCAGCACCAUGCCCACCUCAGCAGGUGAGUGAGCCUCGGUCCCACCCUCACGAGGCAGGUUUAGUUCUGGGGAAGAUGCUCUUCUUUGGUUUGUCAAUGGUCCACACUGAACCUGGGGUGGAAUGACUUCUGCUUCACAACCCUCCUUUUCCUCAAGUCACCAAGAUCUGCACAAAACCUUAGAACUCAGUUUAUUCCAGCACUUGCAGUCUAGAGAUGAAGAAACAGCUUCAGGAAGGUGGCAAACUGGCAAAGCCUGGGCAGACUGAGGCCCCAUUGCCAGUUCUAUGCAUCUUCCACCAUCCCACACUCUCUCCCCAGCUUAGGCUGAACUGUGCAGAUAACCUGUAAAGGAUUCAUGAUUUGAGAACAGAGCUGACAGAACGUCCUCUCUUCCUAAUGUUGUUAACCAGAAACCGCCUUACUAUAAGGAAAAGAGAUGCUGCUGAUUCUGCACAGAUAUCUGUAUACUAUGUUAAUUACAGCCUAAUGAUCCGGGUUGGAGUCCCAGCUCCACCAGUUGUAAGCUGUGUGACCUUUGGUAAGUUACAAAACCUUCCCAAGCUUGGGUAAGAAGGUGGUGAUCACACCACCAAUCUCAUACAGUUGUUUGUGAAAUAUAAAUGCAAUAAUUCAUAUUUAAUACUCAACAAUGUGUCUAACAUAAUCAACACUCAAUAACUAUUAUUUUUCUUAUCAUUAUUAUUUUGCCAAAUAGUGACAGAAAAUUCACUAUUAGGUCUACAAGUAAUUCUGCCCACCAUUCCCUGCCCAUUCAGCUGCUAACAAACCUACUGUAGUCAAUACACUAUUUGUUAAACUCUCAAACAGAUGAAAAAAUUCCACCUCACUCCUCACCCUUACCACACACAUGUCCCCCACCCACUUGGAGUACAAACUCCUGUGAAACCACUUACAAUUACACUCUACCUGUGGCCUACCACAGACUUCUCAAGGCUCUUCACUGGGAAAUCCU